rnacentral:rRNA from 1 species
UACGUAGGGGGCUAGCGUUGUCCGGAAUCAUUGGGCGUAAAGCGCGUGUAGGCGGUCCGGUAAGUCCGCUGUGAAAGUCGGGGGCUCAACCCUCGAAUGCCGGUGGAUACUGUCGGGCUAGAGUGCGGAAGAGGCGAGUGGAAUUCCUGGUGUAGCGGUGAAAUGCGCAGAUAUCAGGGGGAACACCAAUUGCGAAGGCAGCUCGCUGGGACGUUACUGACGCUGAGACGCGAAAGCGUGGGGAGCAAACAGG